rnacentral:rRNA from 1 species
GACGAACCACACAGACGUUAUUCGGAAUUACUGGGCUUAAAGGGUGCGUAGGCGGCGCGGAAAGUAGGGUGUGAAAUCCCUCGGCUCAACCGAGGAAUUGCGCCCUAAACUACCGUGCUCGAGGGAGAUAGAGGUGAGCGGAACUUAGGGUGGAGCGGUGAAAUGCGUUGAUAUCCUAAGGAACACCGGUGGCGAAAGCGGCUCACUGGAUCUCUUCUGACGCUGAGGCACGAAAGCUAGGGUAGCGAACGGG